UGUAAUUAGGCAUAUUGAUGUCUAGGUGAAAUGAAGGAAUUCACUUAUUGACAUAUGCCAUGAUCCUGAUUUAAUAUUGGGGAAGGCAUGUCCCCUAUGUUUUUUCCACAGAAUGCUGCAGAAGAUAUGCUGACUGUGUGCUUGCUGAAUGCCCAGACCAUGGUAACAUAAGAGCUAUAUUGGGUCUAGGAAUUCCUGAAUUAAACAGGUGACCCACCCAGCUGCCAGAGCAGUCAAGACGAGGACCUCCAAGAGAAGCUAGACAACUUCCACCGGAACUCAGCCUGGAGUCUGGGGGGGAAGGGUUUGCCCAAACUGUUAAAAGGUCUGGCGCCAUUAAAGUUUCGGGCUUUGAUCAGUGAA